rnacentral:rRNA from 1 species
AUUGAACGCUGGCGGCAGGCCUAACACAUGCAAGUCGAGCGGAUGAAGGGAGCUUGCUCCUGGAUUCAGCGGCGGACGGGUGAGUAAUGCCUAGGAAUCUGCCUGGUAGUGGGGGAUAACGUCCGGAAACGGGCGCUAAUACCGCAUACGUCCUGAGGGAGAAAGUGGGGGAUCUUCGGACCUCACGCUAUCAGAUGAGCCUAGGUCGGAUUAGCUAGUUGGUGGGGUAAAGGCCUACCAAGGCGACGAUCCGCAACUGGUCUGAGAGGAUGAUCAGUCACACUGGAACUGGGACACGGUCAAGACUCCUACGGGAGGCAGCAGUGGGGAAUAUUGGACAAUGGGCGAAAGCCUGAUCCAGCCAUGCCGCGUGUGUGAAGAAGGUCUUCGGAUUGUAAAGAACUUUAAGUUGGGAGGAAGGGCAGUAAGUUAAUACCUUGCUGUUUUGACGUUACCAACAGAAUAAGCACCGGCUAACUUCGUG